rnacentral:rRNA from 1 species
GUCGAGCGGUAACAGAUCCAGCUUGCUGGAUGCUGACGAGCGGCGGACGGGUGAGUAAUGCAUAGGAAUCUGCCCGAUAGUGGGGGAUAACCUGGGGAAACCCAGGCUAAUACCGCAUACGUCCUACGGGAGAAAGGGGGCUCCGGCUCCCGCUAUGGGAUGAGCCUAUGUCGGAUUAGCUAGUUGGUGAGGUAACGGCUCACCAAGGCCACGAUCCGUAGCUGGUCUGAGAGGAUGAUCAGCCACAUCGGGACUGAGACACGGCCCGAACUCCUACGGGAGGCAGCAGUGGGGAAUAUUGGACAAUGGGGGAAACCCUGAUCCAGCCAUGCCGCGUGUGUGAAGAAGGCCCUCGGGUUGUAAAGCACUUUCAGCGAGGAAGAACGCCUAGCGGUUAAUACCCGCUAGGAAAGACAUCACUCGCAGAAGAAGCACCGGCUAACUCCGUGCCAGCAGCCGCGGUAAUACGGAGGGUGCAAGCGUUAAUCGGAAUUACUGGGCGUAAAGCGCGCGUAGGUGGCUUGAUAAGCCGGUUGUGAAAGCCCCGGGCUCAACCUGGGAACGGCAUCCGGAACUGUCAAGCUAGAGUGCAGGAGAGGAAGGUAGAAUUCCCGGUGUAGCGGUGAAAUGCGUAGAGAUCGGGAGGAAUACCAGUGGCGAAGGCGGCCUUCUGGACUGACGCUGACACUGAGGUGCGAAAGCGUGGGUA